GAUGAACGCUGGCGGCGUGCCUAAUACAUGCAAGUCGAGCGAACAGACGAGGAGCUUGCUCCUCUGACGUUAGCGGCGGACGGGUGAGUAACACGUGGAUAACCUACCUAUAAGACUGGGAUAACUUCGGGAAACCGGAGCUAAUACCGGAUAAUAUAUUGAACCGCAUGGUUCAAUAGUGAAAGACGGUUUUGCUGUCACUUAUAGAUGGUCCGCGCCGCAUUAGCUAGUUGGUAAGGUAACGGCUUACCAAGGCGACGAUGCGUAGCCGACCUGAGAGGGUGAUCGGCCACACUGGAACUGAGACACGGUCCAGACUCCUACGGGAGGCAGCAGUAGGGAAUCUUCCGCAAUGGGCGAAAGCCUGACGGAGCAACGCCGCGUGAGUGAUGAAGGUCUUCGGAUCGUAAAACUCUGUUAUUAGGGAAGAACAAAUGUGUAAGUAACUAUGCACGUCUUGACGGUACCUAAUCAGAAAGCCACGGCUAACUACGUG
rnacentral:rRNA from 1 species